rnacentral:ncRNA from 1 species
GGUCACGAGUGCCAGCGCGUCUCGACGCACAGCCCCGGCUUGCUGGUCGGCAACCCUCCUCGCGGUGGGGUGCUCCGGGUGACGACCGGGCCCCGGCCGACCGGCCUGGGCAAGCGCGAGUC